UUGUGACCAUAUUACGUUAAAACAUCGGUUCCCGUAAGAUCACUGAAGUUAAGCAAAGUCGAAUCUGUUCUGUACCUAGAUGAGUGACCGCUUGGUAAUACCAGGUACUGUAAG